rnacentral:rRNA from 1 species
CAGUUCGGACUGUAGGCUGCAACUCGCCUACACGAAGUCGGAAUCGCUAGUAAUCGCGGAUCAGCAUGCCGCGGUGAAUACGUUCCCGGGCCUUGUACACACCGCCCGUCACACCAUGGGAGUUUGUAGCGCCCAAAGUCGGUGGCCUAACCUUUAUGGAGGGAGCCGCCUAAGGCGGGACAGAUGACUGGGGUGAAGUCGUAACAAGGUACC